rnacentral:hammerhead_ribozyme from 1 species
AUCCUGCUGACGAGCCCCAAAUGGGACGAAACGCGCGUCCUGUAU